UACGUAGGGUGCGAGCGUUGUUCGGAAUUACUGGGCGUAAAGGGCGCGUAGGCGGCCUACUAAGUCGGACGUGAAAUCCCUCGGCUCAACCGAGGAACUGCGUCCGAUACUGGCAGGCUGGAAUCCGGGAGAGGGAUGUGGAAUUCCAGGUGUAGCGGUGAAAUGCGUAGAUAUCUGGAGGAACACCGGUGGCGAAGGCGGCAUCCUGGACCGGUAUUGACGCUGAGGCGCGAAAAGCUAGGGGAGCAAACGGG
rnacentral:rRNA from 1 species